GACGAACGCUGGCGGCGUGCUUAAUACAUGCAAGUCGAACGGACAGGCCCUGCUCUUGUUGCUUGCUCGAGUGGCGAACGGGUGAGUAACACGCGUGUAACCUGCCCCUGACUGUCGGGUAACUCCAGGAAACAGGGGCUAAUACCGGGUAGGAGAUACUGCUGCAUGGUGGGCGUUGGAAAAAUUCGGCUGUUGGGGAUGGACUCGCGGGAUAUCAGCUUGUUGGUGGGGUAGUGGCUUACAAAGGCUUUGAAGGGUAGCCGGCCUGAGAGGGUGACCAGCCACCUUGGUACUGAGGUACGGCCCAGACUCCUACGGGAGGCAACAGUGGGGAAUAUUGCACAAUGAGCGCGAGCCUGAUGCAACGACGCCGCGUGAGGAAUGACGGCCUUCGGGUUAUAAACCGCUGUCAGUAGGGAAAAAGAGAAAGUGACGGUACCUACAGAAGAAGCACCGGCUAACUACGUG
rnacentral:rRNA from 1 species